AGAGUUUGAUCCUGGCUCAGGACGAACGCUGGCGGCGUGCCUAACACAUGCAAGUCGAGCGGAGACAGUGAGUAGCUUGCUAUGAACUGUUUUAGCGGCGGACGGGUGAGUAACGCGUGAGCAACCUUUCCCAGACAGGGGAAUAACACACCGAAAGGUGUACUAAUACCGCAUAAGACCACGGAAUCACAUGGUUCUGGGGUAAAAGAUUUAUCGGUUUGGGGUGGGCUCGCGUCCGAUUAGGUAGUUGGUGAGGUAACGGCCCACCAAGCCGACGAUCGGUAGCCGACCUGAGAGGGUGAUCGGCCACAUUGGGACUGAGACACGGCCCAAACUCCUACGGGAGGCAGCAGUGGGGAAUAUUGGGCAAUGGAGGAAACUCUGACCCAGCAACGCCGCGUGGAGGAAGAAGGUUUUCGGAUCGUAAACUCCUGUCCUUGGAGACGAGUAGAAGACGGUAUCCAAGGAGGAAGCCCCGGCUAACUACGUGCCAGCAGCCGCGGUAAUACGUAGGGGGCAAGCGUUGUCCGGAAUAAUUGGGCGUAAAGGGCGCGUAGGCGGCUCGGUAAGUCUGGAGUGAAAGUCCUGCUUUUAAGGUGGGAAUUGCUUUGGAUACUGUCGGGCUUGAGUGCAGGAGAGGUUAGUGGAAUUCCCAGUGUAGCGGUGAAAUGCGUAGAGAUUGGGAGGAACACCAGUGGCGAAGGCGACUAACUGGACUGUAACUGACGCUGAGGCGCGAAAGUGUGGGGAGCAAACAGGAUUAGAUACCCUGGUAGUCCACACUGUAAACG
rnacentral:rRNA from 1 species